rnacentral:rRNA from 1 species
CAGUAGCCACGGGAAUACGUAGGUGGCGAGCGUUGUCCGGAAUUAUUGGGCGUAAAGCGAGCGCAGGCGGUUUGAUAAGUCUGAAGUUAAAGGCUGUGGCUCAACCAUAGUUCGCUUUGGAAACUGUCAAACUUGAGUGCAGAAGGGGAGAGUGGAAUUCCAUGUGUAGCGGUGAAAUGCGUAGAUAUAUGGAGGAACACCGGUGGCGAAAGCGGCUCUCUGGUCUGUAACUGACGCUGAGGCUCGAAAGCGUGGGGAGCGAACAGGAUUAGAUACCCCAGUAGUCCCUGUCUCUUAUACA